GCCCGCAUAGCUCAGUUGGAUAGAGCAGUGCCCUUCUAAGGCAAAGGUCGAUGGUUCGAAUCCAUCUGCGGGUACCA
rnacentral:tRNA from 1 species